CUUUCACAGUGUAUAGCCUUGCAUCAUCUCACAUUUGCUCUGGGAAGUUUCCGGUGUGCAGUGGUGAGUGCAGAGACGCAAGCUGGUCCAGUGCGGAAAAGCUCACAGUAAACAGUAAACCUUAAGGAGACCUUGACUACACUGCAUAUAAGAAGAUCCAUUUGGAGUGACUCGCUGCUUUAUUUUGAGGUUCCAGAUGGGAGGAACGUUCUAAGCCUGCAAGGAAGAGACUGAAGGAUUGAAGGAAGAGAAUCAGCUGUGGCGGGCUCUUGGUAGUCCUUUUGCUGUCUAAGAAGCGUUUAGAACAGUUGGACAUGCUGGAAGCAAUAAUCUAAUUCUGCUUUUGGGAGGUAAAAGGAGCUUUUUUAAAAAAGUGCCUAAGUUGUUUGAGCUGCUGUGCUAAAAGUUCUUCAUGGGGCUGGUGAGAUGGCUCAGUGAGUAAGAGCACCCGACUGCUCUUCCGAAGGUCUGGAGUUCAAAUCCCAGCAACCACAUGGUGGCUCACAACCAUCCUAACGAGAUCUGACUCCCUCUUCUGGAGUGUCUGAAGACAGCUACAGUGUACUUACAUAUAAAUAAAU
rnacentral:lncRNA from 1 species